GCCAGUAAUGAUAUGCUUGUCUUAAAGAUUAAGCCAUGCAUGUGUUAGUACUAGCUUUUAAAGUGAAACCGCGAAUGGCUCAUUAAACCAGCUAUGAUUUGCUGGCCGAGACGUGUUACAUGGAUAACUUUGGUAAUUCUAUAGCUAAUACAUGCUGCCGGCUUGCUAGUGUGUGGCUUUGGUUGCACGCUGGUGAGGUUUUUAUUGGCUUAGUAGACCUGCUACGCUCUGGCCGCAAGGCUAGGCGCUAGUACAUAUCUGUGGAAUCACGAUAACGUGUUGUGAAUCGUACAGUCUUGAACUGACGAUGCGCUCUAUAAAUGUCUGACCUAUCAGCUGUGGACGGUUUGAUAGAGGCCGACCGUGGCAUUGACGGGUGACGGGGAAUCUGGGUUCGAUUCCGGAGAGGGAGCCUGAGAAACGGCUACCACAUCUAAGGAAGGCAGCAGA
rnacentral:rRNA from 1 species